rnacentral:rRNA from 1 species
GCUAAGGUCCCAAAUCAUAUCUAAGUGGGAAAGGAGGUGGAGAUUCUUAAACAACUAGGAGGUUGGCUUAGAAGCAGCCAUUCCUUGAAAGAGUGCGUAAUAGCUCACUAGUCGAGAGUCUCUGCGCCGACAAUGUAACGGGGCUAAGAUAUGAACCGAAGCUGUGGAUGUCGUAAGACAUGGUAGGAGAGCGUUCUGUAGGCCGUCGAAGGAGGACUGAAAGGAACUCUGGAGGUAUCAGAAGUGAGAAUGCAGGAAUAAGUAGCGAGAAGGGGAGUGAGAAUCUCCCCCGCUGGAAGACCAAGGUUUUCAGGGUAAAGCUUGUCUUCCCUGAGUAAGCCGGGACCUAAGCCCAGGCUAGAAUGCGUAGGCGAAUGGAAAACAGAUGAAUAUUUCUGUGCCAGUUCUACUUUGUGAAGGAGGGACGCAGAAGGGUAUGCGCGCAGACGAACGGAAGAGUCUGUAGAAGCAUGUAGAGUGACUUGGUAGGCAAAUCCGCCAGGUUAGACUUAAGGUGUGACAUAUACUCGCAAGAGGAAUGCGCAAAUCCCACGCUGCCGAGAAAAGCUUCUAGCGGUAAAGUAGAGACUGCCCGUACUGGAAACCGACACAGGUGGUCAGGAUGAGAAAUCUAAAGCGGACAGGCUAACUCUCGUUAAGGAACUCUGCAAAAUGGCCCCGUAACUUCGGGAGAAGGGGUGCCUUUAGGCGUGAGUAUACAAGCGAUACAAAGCGCUUUGAGGUCGCAGUGAAGAGGCUCAAGCAACUGUUUAACAAAAACACAGGUCUAUGCGAAGCUGUAAGGCGAAGUAUAUGGGCUGACACCUGCCCAGUGCCGGAAGGUUAAGAGGAGGAGUGAGAGCUCCGAAUUGAAGCCCCGGUGAACGGCGGCCGUAACUAUAACGGUCCUAAGGUAGCGAAAUUCCUUGUCGGGUAAGUUCCGACCUGCACGAAUGGUGUAAUGAUUUGAGCGCUGUCUUGACGGGAGGCCUGGUGAAAUUGUAUUACCGGUGAAGAUACCGGUUACCUACAGUAGGACGGAAAGACCCCAUGGAGCUUUACUGUAGCUUGGUAUUGGGUUUUGGCAUGGCAUGUAUAGGAUAGUUGGGAGACUGGGAAGGAAUGGCGCUAGCUGUACCGGAGUCAUCGGUGGAAUACCAACCAUUCCCUGCUGAAAUUCUAAUCUGUACUUUGGAGGUA